CCUGGCGCUGCUUUCUGUCGCCUCCACACGGAUAUUCCCGUUCGGUUCUGUCGGGGCUCUGUCGCCUCCACACGGAUACUCCCGUUCGGUUCUGUCGGGGCUCUGUCGCCUCCACACGGAUACUCCCGUUCGGUUCUGUCGGGGCUCUGUCGCGGACGGCAACUAUGGCUGAUGCGGGAGAAGCCGGCGAAGAUGAAAUCCAGUUCUUACGAACCUGUAAUGGACCCUCUCACCUCCUUCUACAGUGUAAUGGACCCUCUCAUCUCCUUCUACAGUUGUAAUGGACCCUCUCAUCUCCUUCUACAGUGUAAUGGACCCUCUCAUCUCCUUCUACAGUGUAAUGGACCCUCUCACCUCCUUCUACAGUGUAAUGGACCCUCUCAUCUCCUUCUACAGUUGUAAUGGACCCUCUCAUCUCCUUCUACAGUGUAAUGGACCCUCUCAUCUCCUUCUACAGUGUAAUGGACCCUCUCAUCUCCUUCUACAGUGUAAUGGACCCUCUCAUCUCCUUCUACAGUGUAAUGGACCCUCUCAUCUCCUUCUGCAGUGUAAUGGACCCUCUCAUCUCCUUCUACAGUGUAAUGGACCCUCUCAUCUCCUUCUACAGUGUAAUGGACCCUCUCAUCUCCUUCUGCAGUGUAAUGGACCCUCUCAUCUCCUUCUACAGUGUAAUACACCCUCUCAUCUCCUUCUACAGUGUAAUGGACCCUCUCAUCUCCUUCUUCAGUGUGGUAGACUCUCUUGUAAGCACCAAUUCAUGAGUAUCCUGAAGGUAUGCUGAACAGGAUGGUAGUGGGAUGCACCAGAGCAGGGAAGAUGUUGGAAUUAUACUGAAGUAUGCUGUAUUUUAGAAGACAGCCUUGUAUUGUAGAUAUGUAUUUAUUAUCGGUGUAAUGUAGUGUCUGUAUUGUAGAUAUGUAGUUAUUAUAGGUGGAAUGUAGUGUCUGUAUUGUUGAUAUGUAUUUAUUAUAGGUGGAAUGUAGUGUCUGUAUUGUUGAUAUGUAUUUAUUAUAGGUGGAAUGUAGUGUCUGUAUUGUAGAUAUGUAUUUAUUAUAGGUGGAAUGUAGUGUCUGUAUUGUAGAUAUGUAUUUAUUAUAGGUGGAAUGUAGUGUCUGUAUUGUAGAUAUGUAUUUAUUAUAGGUGGAAUGUAGUGUCUGUAUUGUAGAUAUAUAUUUAUUAUAGGUGGAAUGUAGUGUCUGUAGACACGUGAGACACUUGCGUCUCUAAGAAUCAUAUAUAUAUAUAUGUAUAUGUUUUUGUAACCUUUAUUUAACCAGACAAGUCAGUUAAUAACAUAAUCUUAUUUACAAUGACUUCCUACCCUGACCGACGCCGGGCCAAUUAUGCGCCGCCCUAUGGGACUCCCAAUCACGGCCGGUUGUGAUACAGCCCGGGAUCGAACCCGGGUCUGUAGUGACGCCUCUAACACUGCGAUGCAGUGCCUUAGACCGCUGCGCCACUCUAGGAAUAGUGCCGUAAUGUCGGUUAGCCAUGAAAACAUUUGGGGAGCGUGCGACUUUCUUUCUAAAUGGAAGCAUAUGGUCACUAUUUCAGCUGAUCAGCGUCCCACUUACCUCAAAACCAUCAUGCGACGUCCCCUUGACCUUCAUGUGAUGUCCCCUUGACCUUCAUGUGACGUCCCCUUGUUGUCGUUGAAUGUCUCACUCAUAAC
rnacentral:lncRNA from 1 species